rnacentral:lncRNA from 1 species
UUGGGUAUUGUGGACUAAUAGGAACUUUAUUGUGUGGGAAUAUAAAGGACAGUCUCUCUCACAAGUUUUCCAUAUGACCUCAUGGUUUCUACAAAAUUGGACUGUUGUUGCUGCUUCUUCCUUAGCUACUACUGCUGCACCAAGUUCAGACCACCUGCGUUCAUGGCAAUGGCCACCGAAAGGAUGGAUGAAGGUCAAUGUGAAUGCAUC